rfam:Dipodomys ordii contig_23224, whole genome shotgun sequence.
GGGAAUGUGGCUUAGUGGUAGAGUGCUUGCCUAGCAUGCAUGAAGCCCUAGGUUCGAUUCCUCAGCACCA